UCAAACUUGGUCAUUUAGAGGAAGUAAAAGUCGUAACAAGGUCUCCGUUGGUGAACCAGCGGAGGGAUCAUUACCGAGUUUUCAACUCCCAAACCCCCUGUGAACUUUAUACCGUUGCUUCGGCGGGCUCUCCUCCCCGGGGAGCUCGCCGGGGGACCCAAACUCUUGCAUCUCUUUACCGUACGGCAUGUCUGAGUGGAAUCAUUACACAAUGAAUCAAAACUUUCAACAACGGAUCUCUUGGUUCUGGCAUCGAUGAAGAACGCAGC
rnacentral:misc_RNA from 1 species